rnacentral:rRNA from 1 species
GUCUCUCUUGAGUGGAUCCUGAGUACGACGGAGCACGUGAAAUUCCGUCGGAAUCUGGGAGGACCAUCUCCUAAGGCUAAAUACUCUCUAGUGACCGAUAGUGAACCAGUACCGUGAGGGAAAGGUGAAAAGCACCCCGGAAGGGGAGUGAAAUAGAACCUGAAACCGUGUGCUUACAAGUAGUCAGAGCCCGUUAAUGGGUGAUGGCGUGCCUUUUGUAGAAUGAACCGGCGAGUUACGAUUUGAUGCAAGGUUAAGCAGUAAAUGUGGAGCCGUAGCGAAAGCGAGUCUGAAUAGGGCGUUUAGUAUUUGGUCGUAGACCCGAAACCAGGUGAUCUACCCUUGGUCAGGUUGAAGUUCAGGUAACACUGAAUGGAGGACCGAACCGACUUACGUUGAAAAGUGAGCGGAUGAACUGAGGGUAGCGGAGAAAUUCCAAUCGAACCUGGAGAUAGCUGGUUCUCUCCGAAAUAGCUUUAGGGCUAGCCUCAAGUGAUGAUUAUUGGAGGUAGAGCACUGUUUGGACGAGGGGCCCCUCUCGGGUUACCGAAUUCAGACAAACUCCGAAUGCCAAUUAAUUUAACUUGGGAGUCAGAACAUGGGUGAUAAGGUCCGUGUUCGAAAGGGAAACAGCCCAGACCACCAGCUAAGGUCCCAAAAUAUAUGUUAAGUGGAAAAGGAUGUGGCGUUGCCCAGACAACUAGGAUGUUGGCUUAGAAGCAGCCAUCAUUUAAAGAGUGCGUAAUAGCUCACUAGUCGAGUGACACUGCGCCGAAAAUGUACCGGGGCUAAACAUAUUACCGAAGCUGUGGAUUGUCCUUUGGACAAUGGUAGGAGAGCGUUCUAAGGGCGUUGAAGCAUGAUCGUAAGGACAUGUGGAGCGCUUAGAAGUGAGAAUGCCGGUGUGAGUAGCGAAAGACGGGUGAGAAUCCCGUCCACCGAUUGACUAAGGUUUCCAGAGGAAGGCUCGUCCGCUCUGGGUUAGUCGGGUCCUAAGCUGAGGCCGACAGGCGUAGGCGAUGGAUAACAGGUUGAUAUUCCUGUACCACCUAUAAUCGUUUUAAUCGAUGGGGGGACGCAGUAGGAUAGGCGAAGCGUGCGAUUGGAUUGCACGUCUAAGCAGUAAGGCUGAGUAUUAGGCAAAUCCGGUACUCGUUAAGGCUGAGCUGUGAUGGGGAGAAGACAUUGUGUCUUCGAGUCGUUGAUUUCACACUGCCGAGAAAAGCCUCUAGAUAGAAAAUAGGUGUCCGUACCGCAAACCGACACAGGUAGUCAAGAUGAGAAUUCUAAGGUGAGCGAGCGAACUCUCGUUAAGGAACUCGGCAAAAUGACCCCGUAACUUCGGGAGAAGGGGUGCUCUUUAGGGUUAACGCCCAGAAGAGCCGCAGUGAAUAGGCCCAAGCGACUGUUUAUCAAAAACACAGGUCUCUGCUAAACCGUAAGGUGAUGUAUAGGGGCUGACGCCUGCCCGGUGCUGGAAGGUUAAGAGGAGUGGUUAGCUUCUGCGAAGCUACGAAUCGAAGCCCCAGUAAACGGCGGCCGUAACUAUAACGGUCCUAAGGUAGCGAAAUUCCUUGUCGGGUAAGUUCCGACCCGCACGAAAGGCGUAACGAUUUGGGCACUGUCUCAACGAGAGACUCGGUGAAAUCAUAGUACCUGUGAAGAUGCAGGUUACCCGCGACAGGACGGAAAGACCCCGUGGAGCUUUACUGUAGCCUGAUAUUGAAAUUCGGCACAGCUUGUACAGGAUAGGUAGGAGCCUUUGAAACGUGAGCGCUAGCUUACGUGGAGGCGCUGGUGGGAUACUACCCUAGCUGUGUUGGCUUUCUAACCCGCACCACUUAUCGUGGUGGGAGACAGUGUCAGGCGGGCAGUUUGACUGGGGCGGUCGCCUCCUAAAAGGUAACGGAGGCGCUCAAAGGUUCCCUCAGAAUGGUUGGAAAUCAUUCAUAGAGUGUAAAGGCAUAAGGGAGCUUGACUGCGAGACCUACAAGUCGAGCAGGGUCGAAAGACGGACUUAGUGAUCCGGUGGUUCCGCAUGGAAGGGCCAUCGCUCAACGGAUAAAAGCUACCCCGGGGAUAACAGGCUUAUCUCCCCCAAGAGUUCACAUCGACGGGGAGGUUUGGCACCUCGAUGUCGGCUCAUCGCAUCCUGGGGCUGUAGUCGGUCCCAAGGGUUGGGCUGUUCGCCCAUUAAAGCGGUACGCGAGCUGGGUUCAGAACGUCGUGAGACAGUUCGGUCCCUAUCCGUCGUGGGCGUAGGAAAUUUGAGAGGAGCUGUCCUUAGUACGAGAGGACCGGGAUGGACAUACCUCUGGUGUACCAGUUGUCGUGCCAACGGCAUAGCUGGGUAGCUAUGUGUGGACGGGAUAAGUGCUGAAAGCAUCUAAGCAUGAAGCCCCCCUCAAGAUGAGAUUUCCCAACUUCGGUUAUAAGAUCCCUCAAAGAUGAUGAGGUUAAUAGGUUCGAGGUGGAAGCAUGGUGACAU